GACGAACCGUGCGACCGUUGUUCGGAAUCACUGGGCUUAAAGGGCGCGUAGGCGGGCAGGCAAGUCAGGGGUGAAAUCCCACGGCUCAACCGUGGAAGUGCCUUUGAUACUGCCGGUCUUGAGGGAGGUAGGGGCGUGCGGAACUUCCGGUGGAGCGGUGAAAUGCGUAGAUAUCGGAAGGAACACCGGUGGCGAAAGCGGCGCGCUGGACCUCUUCUGACGCUGAGGCGCGAAAGCCAGGGGAGCAAACGGG
rnacentral:rRNA from 1 species